CUUGCAACCAUAAGAGGUCCAGCCUGCCCAGUGAUCUAAUUCAACGGCCGCGGUAUCCUAACCGUGCAAAGGUAGCGUAAUCACUUGUUUUCUAAAUAAAGACUAGUAUGAAAGGCAUCACGAGGACUUAACUGUCUCCUUUCUCCAAUCAGUGAACCUAAUCUUCCCGUGAAAAAGCGGGAAUCCACCUAUAAGACGAGAAGACCCUGUGGAGCUUUAAACAUAAUAACACCUGCCACCAUCUCUAACAACCCCGGUACCUCCUUCAAGCGGCACCCUGAUUAUAUGUUUUUGGUUGGGGCGACCGCGGAGAAAAACUCAUCCUCCGCAAUGAACGGGACUUCUUCCUUAAACAAUAAGUCACAACUUUACGUAUUAAAAAAUUAACAUUCCUUGACCCAAUAAAUUGAUUAAUGAAC
rnacentral:rRNA from 2 species